rnacentral:rRNA from 1 species
AGUGAACGCUGGCGGUAGGCCUAACACAUGCAAGUCGAACGGCAGCACAGUAAGAGCUUGCUCUUACGGGUGGCGAGUGGCGGACGGGUGAGGAAUACAUCGGAAUCUACUUUUUCGUGGGGGUUACCGAAGGAAACCUUCCCCUAUUCCCCCAUCCACCCUCCGGUUAAAACCAGGGGUUCUUCGUCCCUUCCCCGUUUGAUUGACCGAUGUUGGAUUUGCUAGUUGGCGGGGUAAAGGCCCACCAAGGCGACGAUCCGUAGCUGGUCUGAGAGGAUGAUCAGCCACACUGGAACUGAGACACGGUCCAGACUCCUACGGGAGGCAGCAGUGGGGAAUAUUGGACAAUGGGCGCAAGCCUGAUCCAGCCAUACCGCGUGGGUGAAGAAGGCCUCCGGGUUGUAAAGCCCUUUUGUUGGGAAAGAAAAGCAGCAGGUUAAUACCCCGCUGUUCUGACGGUACCCAAAGAAUAAGCACCGGCUAACUUCGUG